GUACUGGUGGUUCAGUGGUAGAAUUCUCAUCCUCCACGUAGGAGACCCGGGUUCGAUUCCCAGCCAAUGCA
rnacentral:tRNA from 1 species